CCGGGAGUUCCGGGGCUCCAAGGCCAAAACCAACUUCCCUCUCCCCAACGAAGUCCUCCCCUUCCCCAACACCGACAACCUCACCCGCAGCCCCAGCCCCAGCAGCACCGUCGAGUCCUCCAGCCCCCACGCGCCUCUCGAGCUCGACCUCACGCGCCGCCUAGGAAGCAGCGACGGUGGCUUUCCGUUCCAUUACCAGCCGCACGUUGUGAAUUCCGCUGCUGUGGCAGGCGUUUGGCCUCACGCGCGGCCAGUUUUGUUUUUGGAUGCGUUUGUCGGGGCGGAGGGGUUCCGAGUCAACCCGGUUACAGUCGCCUACGAUGGCGGGUUUGGGAGCCCGGUUCAGAGCGAGUCGGACUCGUCUUCUGUGGUGGACUCGGUCCAGCAUGAGAGCAGUGGGGCAACGAGGGUUCUGGGUCUGGAUCUUAACUUCCCUCCACCCCUGG
rnacentral:lncRNA from 1 species